rnacentral:tRNA from 4 species
GGAAGUGUGGCCGAGCGGUUGAAGGCACCGGUCUUGAAAACCGGCGACCCGAAAGGGUUCCAGAGUUCGAAUCUCUGCGCUUCC